GGCAAAAAGAAAUUUGAUUUGUUUUGUAUACUUCCUUAUCCAAUCAUUUUCAUUAUGGAUUUCAUUUUUUAACUUCCAGCACUUUUCGGAAGUAUCUUUUCAUGCAGUGUGAUUUUUUUUUUUCUUCUUGUUUGAUAGAUGAUGAAAUUAGGGGUGCACAUUCAAUUGGUUUUUUGCAGGAAUUGUAAUUAGAUUCUUCUUAGCAUGUUCGCGCUGCUUCCUCCAAGGCUACUCUGAAUCAACCAACAAUCAGAGUUGUAGCUAUAAUAGCUGAAGGUUGUAAAGAAGCCUCCACCUACUCUAAUGGAGAACACAUAAUCAAAAGUGAAAAAUAAGCAAGAGGAGGCCAAAGCCAGUGAGAUGAAAGCGGCUGGGGUUGGACUAAAAGUUAGUUGGAAAUUUGGUCAAAAUGCAAUUCUAUAGGCCAAUCUUUCUACACAAGAGAGCAGUAAUGGUAUGGCCUUUCUGAUGAUUUAAUAGGCUAGAACAUUGGUUUGCUAUGUUCCACUGUGGAUGGACUCUGACAUGCUCCAAAAAUCUACUCAGCCGGAUAAUUUUAAAGUUUUUAUUCAGGAGAAUCUCGACCACAAGGUUUCACAUGUAAACUCCUAGAAGCCAAAUCCUGUUUUUUAGUAUCUAAAACUUCCCUGCCAUUAUUUCAAAUCACAGGCGAUGGACCACAAUUUGUGGGCUUGAUGUUUGUAAUCUAGAUGUAAAAUACCUCUGUUAAGAGUGGUCUAGAUGUUGCACAAGUUGAUAUUGGUUUGUGUACUGCAAAUUGCCUCUUCAAUCUCUCCUCAUGCCAGUCAACCUAGCAUUUCUCAUCGAUAUUUUCAGAAAUUGACCUUUUUUUGGAGAUUUCUUUGUUUGGAUUUUAUUUAUUUAUUAUUAUUUUUUUUUUUGCAGUGAGUUGUGAAAAACCAUGGUGGAUCUGUUCUAGCUUGCUCAUUUUGAGUUUUCCUCACAUGAGUUGUGAAAAACCCAUGAGUUGCGUUGCUAUUUAGUAGGAAGGAAUGCCUGGGUUCAUUUGGUUGUUAUGUGUGAUAUUCCUUUCCUUUCUCUUUGGUUUUUAUUCCUCUGUUAUACUGUAUUAGAAAUUUGAUUUGGUAUGUCAACUUGCAGUUUUUGAAGGUUGAAGGUAGGUUGUUGCCAAAAAAAAAGGGACCAUUCUGUGUAGGUGUUUAGUUUACUUGCUUGGAUCUGCUAUGGCAGAUGAUGAAACGAUUCUGAGUAACCAGAGAAGAGGCCUAUGCUAAGUGAUUUGUUUGGAUGCUCCAUUGGAUUGGAUUUGUUUUAGUUCAAUAAAGUCAUGUAAUAUCAGCUCAACUCCUUUUCUUUUUCUUUUCUAAAUUAACAUGUGCUGAAUUUUAUAUUGAAAUCUGAAUUCCCUUUUUCUGAAGGUGCAUUCUUAUUGGAUGCUUGUUUUGGUCUUUUGGAUAUGCAUGUAUUGAAUUUUUGUAACAAAAACAUGAUCUUUGCACUAACAAUAACAUGCUUUAUAACUUGGCUAUGGAACAAACUUUUUGGGAACAAAAUUAUUGGAACUUAGUGUUCUAUGUUUUGGGAACAAAAACUAUUUGGCUCAACAUUAUAAAUCUUACUCAGCCAGAAAAAUCGAAACAAGGGAGCUUUACAAAUCAUUUUCCACCGGAAAGAUUCGAAAAGAGAAUCUCAUGGAUGCUUGACAAAGGUUCAACAACUGGCCGUCCACCUAACAUCAACAAUCCUCCUUCACCCCAGCUGCUGACAGGUUGAAGCAAUUACUACCAGGCAUAGUUAAUGGUCAAAAUGGUGUUGUUUUGCUCGCAAUUGGGGUUUAGCUGUUCGGCAUGGAACCGGCAUCAGAGAUACACGACAAGAUUUUAUUUAUGAUUAAUAAUAUUUCAGCUUCAAAUAUGGAUGUGAAAGCAAAAGAAUUUACUGAUGUCCGGAAAGAGCAGUACUAUCCAUGGUUUGCUCAGUAUAUGGUGAUAAAAAGGUGAGAAAAAUCUUAUGAAUAACCUUUUAGUUUCAUCAGCUGAUUUUUACUUUACCGGGACAUUAUAUUUGACAGAGCAAGCAUUGAGCCAAAUUUUCAUGAGCUGUACUUGAAGUUCCUGGAGAAAGUUAAUUCAAGAAUGCUGAAUAAGGAGAUUGUCAAAGCUACUUGUGAGAAUUGCAAGGUGCCUUCGCAAAACUUUUUUGUUACCCCUGGUUGUCAUCGUCACCAUACACUUUACAAUCUCCCAUAGACAUGGACGAAUGAGGUCCAGCCAGAGCUUCUACAAGGGAUCUUCAAGUGCUUGGAAUGCAGUUUUGUCAUCAGGAACGUCGAACAACAAUUCAAAUACACUGAGGUGCUUUCAACUCCUUUAAAAAACCAACCAUCCACUCUUUUUUUCAACUUCCACAAAAAGAAGUGUGGCUGUAAGCACACCAAUGACUACUAGGAAGACAGUUGCACAAUAAGUGAAUAAAAAUUUCUGCAACCAGCCAUAAGGAGGUGGUGGUGGUGGUGGUGUUGGGCCAAUUCAACCCCUCCUUCUAAAAAUUGAUCAUAUCAGAUAAAUGUGACAACACAUUGCUCAAUGUAAUAUUUUGGUAACAUAGCCGAUCAUGCUUCUGGAUGUUUCGGUUCUCAUGUUUAAGCAGCCGCCUUGGCUUUAGACUUCUUUCCUUUCGUCUCUGGCGCUGGGCUGUUCUGGAAGGGAAGGAAGGCAGUACCUAUGAAGGGUUGUAAAGGUGCUGGAAUCUCAACGCCAUCUUCCUUUUGGUAAUUUUCAAAAAUACAGCAAAUGGUACUUUCUGUUGCUGUGAGGGUAGAGUAACAAAUGACUGCCUGUUUUUUCUUUCUUUUGCAGAAUAUUGUGGAGUCCACCUGCUUUCAUGAAUUACUAGGAAACUAAUUUUGUAAUUGUAAUUGUAAUUGAUUGAAUGAAGGAUUGGAAUUGAAUGAAUGAAUGAUUAUGCAGG